rnacentral:rRNA from 1 species
GACGAACGCUGGCGGCGUGCUUAACACAUGCAAGUCGAACGGAAAGGCCCUGCUUUUGUGGGGUGCUCGAGUGGCGAACGGGUGAGUAACACGUGAGUAACCUGCCCUUGACUUUGGGAUAACUUCAGGAAACUGGGGCUAAUACCGGAUAGGAGCUCCUGCUGCAUGGUGGGGGUUGGAAAGUUUCGGCGGUUGGGGAUGGACUCGCGGCUUAUCAGCUUGUUGGUGGGGUAGUGGCUUACCAAGGCUUUGACGGGUAGCCGGCCUGAGAGGGGGACCGGCCACAUUGGGACUGAGAUACGGCCCAGAGUCCUACGGGAGGCAGCAGGGGGGAAGAUUGCACGAUGGGCGGAAGCCUGAUGCAGCAACGCCGCGUGCGGGAUGACGGCCUUCGGGUUGUAGACCGCUUUCGCCUGUGACGAAGCGUGAGUGACGGUAAUGGGUAAAGAAGCACCGGCUAACUACGUG